rnacentral:sRNA from 1 species
UAGGAUCAAUUUUAAAA